CUCUGACAGAGUACACUGUUUAUUGACCUCUGACAGAGACAACUGUUUAUUGACCUCUGACAGAGACAACUGUUUAUUGACCUCUGACAGGUAUAACAUACAUAAUAUAGGAAACAACAGAAGCCUAUGUACAUAGGUAACAUCAUCUUCAUCAUCUUCAUCCUCACCACUAUCAUCCUCAUGUCACAGUUCUUAUUUUAUUAACUUUUUAAACGUCAACAUUAAACCUUAAAUGUCCCAGCAUGCAAUACAUUGGACCCAAUUACAGUCUAUACAACCAGAGAUCUACUGUAUAUAGAUCCAUCUAUUGCUUUCAAUACAACCAGCUCUCUGUUUCUACCAGUCUUCAGUUAGUUCAUCCAGCUUCAGUGCAGGGUCAGACACAGAUAUUAUACACUGAGCGAGAGAGAGAGAGAGAAUGAGAGACAGAGAGAGAGAGAGAGGGGGAGAGAGAGAGAGAGAAUGAGCGAGAGAGAGAGAGAGGUGGGGAGAGAGAAAAUGAGAGAGAGAGAGGUGGGGAGAGAGAGAGAGAGAGAGAGAGGUGGGGAGAGAGAGAGAGAAAGAGAGAGAAUGAGAGAGAGAGAGGUGGGGACAGAGAGAGAGAGAGAGAAUGAGAGAGAGAGAGAGGUGGGGAGAGAGAGAGAGAAUGAGAGAGAGAGAGAGAGAGAGAAUGAGAGAGAGCAGAAAAAGAUAGCGCUUGAGAUUGCUGGUAUAGAAGAGAUAAAAACAGGACAAUACAUUACUUGUAGGUAGGAACAGGGUUGGAGUUACCUACAGGAGGGUCUCUCUCCAGGAACAGGUUUGGAGUUACCUACAGGAGGGUCUCUCUCCAGGAACAGGGUUGGAGUUACCUACAGGAGGGUCUCUCUCCAGGAACAGGGUUGGAGUUACCUACAGGAGGGUCUCUCUCCAGGAACAGGGUUGGAGUUAAAACCUACAGGAGGGUCUCUCUCCAGGAAC
ensembl:lncRNA